CCAAUCCGCGCGCGCGCCCUUCUCCCCGCGGGCCGCGGCGCCGCCGCGCAGGCGCAGUGGCCACGCCCCGCCCGGCACCGCCUUCCCGGGUGCCUUAAAGGGACAGCGCCCCGGGAAACCGGGAAGGGGCACGGUUACAGGCGAGGCGGGGGGAGGGGAGCGAUGGCGGCGCCUCCGGCUCCCGGGUGUCGCAGCCCUUCAGGAGGGGGGCAGCGGGCCGGGCUGUGCCCGCGUGGGAGCGAUGCGCAGCACCCCCAAAAUGGCCGUGGGGCAGGCAGGCUGUGCCAGGCCUCGACUGGGCCACAGGCCCCGCUGCGGGGGGGGCAGCACCGAGGCCCCGGGGCCACCGGCAGCGCCUGUGAACGGUCUCUGCUUUGGCCUUGAGCCCUGCCCAAACCUCUGCACGUGCCUCCUAGGCCUGGGACCCUUCACCCUGUGUCUCUGCUCUGAGGGACCGAGGCCUCGAGAAACUGCUGUGAUGCUUCCACCCGACGCUGGCACCCUGCAACGUGUGCGGCGUUUCGUCCCUGAGACACCCGGCGCCGCGGCUGGGAACCAACUGCUCCGUGGUGGCGGCGCCCCCAAAAUCCCGAGUGCCAAGGUCAGUGUCUCUAACCACAUUUUUGGGUGCCUAGAGAGCUGCUGAUGUUUCCAAGAACAUAUCACCUGCUAAAAAUGCCUCAUAUGCAGACAGAAGUGAGUUUUCCCCAGCCAAAUACUGCCUGGAAGCCACUCUGUUCCCGCUGAGGUCUGGCUGCUCCAUUUCUAAGCGUGGGGCCAGAAACGAGUGCACAGCACGGUCCCUUUCACGGGGGCCAGGAGAUCACAUCCAGGCAACUUCAGGCUGAAUUACUGGGAGACAACACAAACCCACUGGGCGCCUGCGCACGUGUGGGCUGCGAAGGCCCAUCUCUCCUCACGCCCAGAUGUUGCUGCUGAUACAUCACUGCUGGUACGUGAGAGGGGGCAGCCCCCGAGGACCCCGUGCCGUUGGAGGAGACAGAGGCUUUCCAGCACUUUCCCCUUCUUGUAAUCAGCCCCACAGGCCAAUUAAACAAAAAGGCAAUUGGUCAGUUUCCCAGGCAGGCCAACAUGUUAAUCAGGCUCCCCAGCCUUCCUUUCCAGUCUGGCAAAAGCCAGCAUUGGUGCUAAAAAAUUCAAACGGUUGCCGUGACAACUCCAACAGCUGAUAACUCAUCCUGUCACAAGGGGAGCAUGGGGCUCUCAGCCUCUCGGGGCCAAGGUAAUUCCUGCUGUAGCUGCACCAGCAACUCCCUGGGCGCUGCAGACGGUGGAGGGGACCAGUGGGCUCGGGAUGUGCUGGGAAUUUGGCGGUGACCUGAGCUGGCAGGGUAGCUUGAGGACAAAAUGACUUGGGUUUGUGAGAGGUUUUUUUAUAUAUAUAUUGCAGCUGAUUGAAGUGAAGCAACAGUCUUCUAUGAUGCUGAAGAGAAGGAAGUUAAAAAAAGAAACAAAAUAUUUAUGGUAUGGA